GUGCUCCUUUCUCAUAUGAGCGGGCUUUUGACUUCAAUACUUCAAUUGUAUUCCCUUAUUCUCCAGGUGGGUGCCUGAUUUCUAUUUCUUUUAUCCUUGUUCUCCAUGUGGACGCCUGAUUUCUUCCUUCCUUUGUCCUUAUUCUCCCGGUGGACGCCUGAUUACUUCUUUUCUUUGUCAUUGUUCUCCAGGUGGACGCCUGAUUUCUAUUUUUCUUUGUCCUUGUUCUCCAGGUGGAAGCCUGAUACUAUUUUUCUUUGUCCUUGUUCUCCAGGUGGACGCCUGAUUUCUUCUUUUCUUUGUCCUUGUUCUCCAGGUGGACGCCUGAUUUCUUCUUUUCUUUGUCCUUGUUCUCCAGGUGGACGCCUGAUUACUUCUUUUCUUUGUCCUACAACAAACUCCGUUCUACAGGCGGGUCUCCUAUUGGUAAGAUUAAACUUAGGAAGUGCGUCUCCUAUGGUGAAACUAAACUGAGGAAGUGCGUCUCCUAUUGGUAAUGACAUGCCUGCAUUUAUUCUGGUGGGCGACCUAGAAUAUGGAAUGAACAGACAAAAUGUAUUCCCGCAUUAUACUGGUGGGCGACCUAGAACUUAAAUGUAUUCCCGCAUUAUACUGGUGGG
rnacentral:lncRNA from 1 species